AUUCCUACGGGAGGCAGCAGCAGGGAAUAUUGCGCAAUGAGCGAAAGCUUGACGCAGCGACACCGCGUGUGGGAUGACGGAUCUAGGUUUGUAAACCACUUUCAGGAGGGAAGAAAAUGACGGUACCUCCACAAGAAGCCCCGGCCAACUACGUGCCAGCAGCCGCGGUAAUACGUAGGGGGCGAGCGUUGUCCGGAUUUAUUGGGCGUAAAGAGCUCGUAGGCGGUUCAACAAGUCGGUCGUGAAAGUUCAGGGCUCAACCCUGAAAUGUCGAUCGAUACUGUUGUGACUAGGAUACGGUAGAGGUGAGUGGAAUUCCGAGUGUAGCGGUGAAAUGCGUAGAUAUUCGGAGGAACACCAAUUGCGAAGGCAGCUCACUGGGCCGCUAUCGACGCUGAGGAGCGAAAGCUAGGGGAGCAAACAGGAUUAGAUACCCUGGUAGUCCUAGCUGUAAACGAUGGAUACUAGACGUAGGAACUGGAUUGACGGUUUCUGUGUCGCAGCUAACGCGUUAAGUAUCCCGCCUGGGGAGUACGGUCGCAAGACUAAAACUCAAAGGAAUUGACGGAU
rnacentral:rRNA from 1 species